rnacentral:rRNA from 1 species
GUCAGCAGCCAUAUCACCCUGCAGCUCACAACUCACAACUAACAACCCACUGAAGCUCAGCGGGUGUGAGGCUGGCCCGUACCUAGAUGGGAGACCUUCUGGGAGAAACUAGGGCUGCUGCUGGAA